rnacentral:tmRNA from 1 species
CUCAUUUGAAUUGUCGCCGUGUUAUAUUGGCAUCGCUGGGCAACCAGCUAUGGAACUAAACGCCUCACAGAAUAGACGUUACGGACCCGGGGGCGGUACCCGGCGCCUCCACCAAGACCAGGCCAUUGAGCAAGUGAAUGGCUUCCUGGGGGCGAAAUAGGAUCGACGUGCGCAAUAAAAGUCAGGUUUGUUCCCGGUAUGAGUUCGACCGUCUAUCAGGCUCAAAAUCACUAAGUGCCAACGAUAAUAUCGCUGUCACCGAAAAUGUUGCUCUCGCCGCCUAACGGCCGCUAGAGUGAUUUGAUUCGCGGUCCGGGGGCACCGGGCAACAGAACGCCCCCACU